rnacentral:lncRNA from 1 species
GUGGAGCGGUUGAUGCAGGAGUCUGUGCAUUGACUUACCCGGGGCGGCCCGGGACUGGAGUUAGGGAGCUGCCUUCGCGGGCUUCAGGUGAGGAUCCCAUUUAAACUCUGUGAAAGCUAUCAGGUAUGGGAUACAAUCUGCCACAGUCCCUAAAGAUACCAGAUCGAAGGCAAGAGGUAACACUGAGGCUGACGAUGAAGAUAAUUUAAUGUGGAUUCCUUCCAACUCAGGCUGCUUCUGAUGCUUGGAAGCUAUUGUUCCAGUUACUAAGAUGGUAGUAAAUCUUUGCCUCCCACAGUUCAGACCAAGAAUUCACUGCAACAAGGUAAGCCAGACAAAUCCAUGCACAUAUGAUUUGUUCUUUAGACUUUUCCCCAUUUUCUGGCUUGUAUACUCUCCCCCUUAGGUCCCACCAGGCAGCAUUUGGACAAUUACUGGCCAGUCCCCAAGAAUCACAGCACUGUCACUCUGUGACGUGUUUGUGAAGACCAUUCAGCUGUGCCCUUUCCUUUCAGCCAAGCAAUGUCAAGCAACAUCACUGUACCCAGCAGGCGCCCAGCAGAGUAAAUCACUCAGGAGCGCUCUUCCUCCCUCUCCUGCUCCCCCUCUCUUUCCUCGCUGUUUUUGUUGUUUUCUUGUUGACUUGUUUUUGUUUUGUCUUUAAGAUUCAUUUGCUUUUUCCAGGUGUUGUGGGUGCAUACCUUUAAUCUUAGCAGGCAGGAGGCAGAGAGGCAGGAGAAUCUCUAUGAGUUCAAGGCCAGCCAGGUGCUGGGAAAGGAAAACUGGGUCCUCUCUGAAAGAUCAUUGAAUGCUCCUAAGCACUAGACAGACCUGGUUUUUGGUUUUUUGGGUUUUUGGGUUUUUGGGUUUUUUUUUUUUUUUUAAUGACAGAGUCACUUGCUGACCUGCAGAGCCCAGGCUGACCUAUACUAUAAAUCACUAUGUAACCAAGGAUGACUUUGAAGGGACCCUUCUUCCUCACUCUCCAGUGUGGGGACUCAGCAGUUUGAGGCUCACACAGUAUCAUGGACUGUCAUUUUGGUUUGUUUUUGCUUGUUUGCGUCAAGGAUCUCAUGUAACCCUGACUGUUCUCUAACUUGCUGUGUAGCAUCAGAUGGUUUUUACCUGGGUAGUGGUGGGGCUUAUGCCUUGAACCCCAUAGUCCCAGCACUAGGGAGGCAGAGGCAGGCAGACCUCUGAGCUUGAUGUGUCUGCCUAGGCUACAUAAUGAGUAGGACAACCAGGACUACACAGAGAGACCCUGUCUCAAAAGCCAAAGAGAAUCAAAGAAAGAAAGUAAAGAAAAGAAAAGAAGGCCUGGAGAGAUGGCUCAGUGGUUAAGAGCACUGACUUCUCUUCCAGAGGUCCCGAGUUCAUUUCCCAGCAAACAUCUGUAAUGGGUUCUGAUGCCCUCUUCUGGUUGUCUGAAGACAGCGACAGUGUACUCACAUAUAUAAAAUAAAGAAAUCUUU